UUGAUUCAUUUGUGUAUGAUUCCACUCAGACAUGCCAUUAAAAUAAUCACACAAGAGUUUGGAUCCCCCGGCGGGCGCCUGGUUCCGGCGACCCCUUUCAGGGCCUUCCGGGGCGUUAAAACCCGCCGAGGCAACAGUAAAGGUAUAAGUUCACAGGGGUUUGGGAGUUGGUAAGACUCGGUAAUGAUCCCUCCGCUGGUUCACCAACGGAGA
rnacentral:misc_RNA from 1 species